AUUGAACGCUGGCGGCAUGCCUUACACAUGCAAGUCGAACGGUAACAGGUCUUCGGAUGCUGACGAGUGGCGAACGGGUGAGUAAUACAUCGGAACGUGCCUAGUAGUGGGGGAUAACUACUCGAAAGAGUGGCUAAUACCGCAUGAGAUCUACGGAUGAAAGCAGGGGAUCGCAAGACCUUGUGCUACUAGAGCGGCCGAUGGCAGAUUAGGUAGGUGGUGGGAUAAGAGCUUACCAAGCCGACGAUCUGUAGCUGGUCUGAGAGGACGAUCAGCCACACUGGGACUGAGACACGGCCCAGACUCCUACGGGAGGCAGCAGUGGGGAAUUUUGGGCAAUGGGCGCAAGCCUGAUCCAGCAAUGCCGCGUGCAGGAUGAAGGCCUUCGGGUUGUAAACUGCUUUUGUACGGAACGAAAAGCCCCGGGUUAAUACCCUGGGGUCAUGACGGUACCGUAAGAAUAAGCACCGGCUAACUUCGUGCCAGCAGCCGCCGUAA
rnacentral:rRNA from 1 species